AUUGAACGCUGACGGCAGGCCUAACACAUGCAAGUCGAGCGGAUGAGUGGAGCUUGCUCCAUGAUUCAGCGGCGGACGGGUGAGUAAUGCCUAGGAAUCUGCCUGGUAGUGGGGGAUAACGUUUCGAAAGGAACGCUAAUACCGCAUACGUCCUACGGGAGAAAGCAGGGGACCUUCGGGCCUUGCGCUAUCAGAUGAGCCUAGGUCGGAUUAGCUAGUUGGUGAGGUAAAGGCUCACCAAGGCGACGAUCCGUAACUGGUCUGAGAGGAUGAGCAGUCACACGGGAACUGAGACACGGGCCAGACUCCUACGGGAGUCAGCAGUGGGGAAUAUUGGACAAUGGGCGGAAGCCUGAUCCAGCCAUGCCGCGUGUGUGAAGAAGGUCUUCGGAUUGUAAAGCACUUUAAGUUGGGAGGAAGGGCAGUAAGUUAAUACCUUGCUGUUUUGACGUUACCGACAGAAUAAGCACCGGCUAACUUCGUGCCAGCCGCCGCAGUAACAC
rnacentral:rRNA from 1 species